AGCUGCAUUACAGGGCCUUCCUCCUUUGGCAGUUGUCGACUCGAGCAAAAUGUGGGCUAACUAACCACAUUGUCUUGUAGUUUGUCAACUGCCAAAGGAGAUUUGCCCCGCAAUUCUUCU
rnacentral:pre_miRNA from 1 species